CACAGCCACGCGGGCCGGGCCAGGGGGCGCCGGGCCUUUGGCCGCGUGCCCCUUCCCCCGGGAGCUAGAGCAGGAUCCGUGCGGCCUUUGGCCCUUUGGCCGCGUGCCCCCUGCAGCCCCGCCAACGACCCGCACGGGAACCUGGAGGGACCCGCACGGGAACCUGGAGGGCUGCCGCCACUGCUGGUGCGGACGGGGGCGGGGACCCUGCUGUGCCCGUGUCCGGAUCCCGGAUCCCGGGAAGGGGAACGGGUGUGGAGCCGGGCCACCCGGCGUCAAAGGGGGGGCCUUGAGCGUGAGGGGGUCUUGGGAGGCGGAGGGGUAGGGGCUGGGGAGGAGGCGGUGGCGGAGCUCACCAGGAGGAGCAGAGAGUCCGGGUCGGACAGGCCCCCGGUGGGAGCAGCAGCAGCACCAGCCAGCCGCGGCCUCCUCCUCCUCCUCCUCCUCCUCCUCCUCCUCAGCCGGGCCCCGCGCCCCGUGCCCCGCGCCCCCCGCCCAAAACCCGGCCCGGGCCCACCAAGAGGCUGUUGCCUGACACCCGGGGGGGGGGGGGGGGGGACACACACACCGGGCAGCGGCACUGCCACGUCCCGCGGCUUUCCCCUCUCUGGCGGAGGCCUGGUCCCAGUGCCCCCAUUUCCCUCUUCCCUCAGCCAAGUCGAGGCCAAGCCGCCGCCAUCACUCCCCCUCCACCCCGCGCCCCGGGCCAGCCAGGCCUCUCAGCUCGCCCCGUUCCCCUUUCUGGGCCACCUUCUCCAACGUCCCACCACAGCCCUCAGGGCAAGCACAGUCGAGGAACGGCUGGGUGACUCCCGCCCCUGCAUCCCAAAGCCAACGCCUGCUCCCGAGCUGGUCAUCAAGGGACCAGCGUGGAGCGCGUGCCAGAAGCGCCAGGCGCCUCGGGAUGGGACUGCCAACGGCCCCUUCGGUCCCGGUCCCGCCGGGACGCUGGGACUUCACCCCCGGGCCCGUCCUGCCCUGGAAGCCAGCGGGCGGCGGCUCCGGGGAUCGCCAACGCGUUCCGCUUGA
rnacentral:lncRNA from 1 species